AUUGAACGCUGGCGGCAGGCCUAACACAUGCAAGUCGAGCGGCAGCGGGAAAGUAGCUUGCUACUUUUGCCGGCGAGCGGCGGACGGGUGAGUAAUGCCUGGGAAAUUGUCCAGUCGAGGGGGAUAACAGUUGGAAACGACUGCUAAUACCGCAUACGCCCUACGGGGGAAAGCAGGGGACCUUCGGGCCUUGGGCGAUUGGAUAUGCCCAGGUGGGAUUAGCUAGUUGGUGAGGUAAUGGCUCACCAAGGCGACGAUCCCUAGCUGGUCUGAGAGGAUGAUCAGCCACACUGGAACUGAGACACGGUCCAGACUCCUACGGGAGGCAGCAGUGGGGAAUAUUGCACAAUGGGGGAAACCCUGAUGCAGCCAUGCCGCGUGUGUGAAGAAGGCCUUCGGGUUGUAAAGCACUUUCAGCGAGGAGGAAAGGUUGAUGCCUAAUACGCAUCAACUGUGACGUUACUCGCAGAAGAAGCACCGGCUAACUCCGUGCCAGCCGCCGCGGUAA
rnacentral:rRNA from 1 species